UACGGAGGAUGCAAGCGUAAUCCGGAAUUAUUGGGCGUAAAGCGUCCGUAGGUGGUUGAGUAAGUCUGCUGUUAAAGCGUGGAGCUGAACUCCAUAUCGGCAGUGGAAACUACUUGACUUGAGUGCGGUAGGGGUCAGGGGAAUUCCCAGUGUAGCGGUGAAAUGCGUAGAUAUUGGGAAGAACACCGGUGGCGAAAGCGCCUGAUUGGGCCUGCACUGACACUGAGGGACGAAAGCUAGGGGAGCGAAAGGG
rnacentral:rRNA from 1 species